rnacentral:rRNA from 1 species
GACGAACGCUGGCGGCGUGCUUAACACAUGCAAGUCGAACGAUGAAGCCCAGCUUGCUGGGUGGAUUAGUGGCGAACGGGUGAGUAACACGUGGGCAACCUGCCCCAAACUCUGGGAUAACUCCUCGAAAGAGGUGCUAAUACCGGAUACGAACUAGACAGACAUCUGUACUAGUUGGAAAGUUUUUCGGUUUGGGAUGGGCCCGCGGCCUAUCAGCUUGUUGGUGAGGUAACGGCUCACCAAGGUUACGACGGGUAACCGGCCUGAGAGGGCGACCGGUCACACUGGGACUGAGACACGGCCCAGACUCCUACGGGGGGCAGCAGUGGGGAAUAUUGCGCAUUGGGCGAAAGCCUGACGCAGCGACGCCGCGUGAGGGAUGAAGGUCUUCGGAUCGUAAACCUCUUUCAGUAGGGACGAAGCGAAAGUGACGGUACCUAAAGAAGAAGCACCGGCUAACUACGUGCCAGCAGCCGCAGUAA